UACGGAGGGUGCGAACGUUAAUCGGAAUCACUGGGCGUAAAGCGCGCGUAGGCGGUCUGUUAAGUGGGAUGUGAAAUCCCCGGGCUUAACCUGGGAAUUGCAUUUCAAACUGGCCGACUAGAGUGCGGUAGAGGGAGGUAGAAUUUCCUGUGUAGCGGUGAAAUGCGUAGAUAUCUGGAGGAACACCGGUGGCGAAGGCGGCAUCCUGGACCGGCAUUGACGCUGAGGCGCGAAAGCCAGGGGAGCAAACGGG
rnacentral:rRNA from 1 species